GCUCCCAUAGUUUAACGGAUAGAACACGGGCCUCCGGAGCUCGAAAUCCAAGUUCAAUUCUUGGUGGGAGCA
rnacentral:tRNA from 1 species